UACGUAGGCAGCGAGCGUUGUUCGGAGUUACUGGGCGUAAAGGGUGUGUAGGCGGUUGUUUAAGUUUGGUGUGAAAUCUCCCGGCUCAACUGGGAGGGUGCGCCGAAUACUGAAUGACUUCGAGUGCGGGAGAGGAAAGUGGAAUUCCUGGUGUAGCGGUGAAAUGCGUAGAUAUCAGGAGGAACACCGGUGGUGUAGACGGCUUUCUGGACCGUAACUGACGCUGAGACACGAAAGCGUGGGUAGCAAACAGG
rnacentral:rRNA from 2 species